GGUUUCAUGGUCUAGCGGUUAGGACAUUAGACUCUGAAUCUGGUAACCGGUGGAACCU
rnacentral:tRNA from 1 species